rnacentral:rRNA from 1 species
UACGUAGGGUGCAAGCGUUGUCCGGAAUUAUUGGGCGUAAAGAGCUCGUAGGCGGUUUGUCACGUCGGGUGUGAAAGCCCGGGGCUUAACCCCGGGUCUGCAUUCGAUACGGGCAGACUAGAGUGUGGUAGGGGAGAUCGGAAUUCCUGGUGUAGCGGUGAAAUGCGCAGAUAUCAGGAGGAACACCGGUGGCGAAGGCGGAUCUCUGGGCCAUUACUGACGCUGAGGAGCGAAAGCGUGGGGAGCGAACAGG